rnacentral:ncRNA from 2 species
UGGUUACAAUGCGGCUCUGAUACGGUUCCAGAGACGUCGCUUUUUGAUCCUUCGAUGUCGGCUCUUCCUAUCAUACUGAAGCAGAAUUCGGUAAGCGUUGGAUUGUUCACCCACUAGACAACGGGUCUCAGAAAUAACCCUAUGGUGGGGAUAGUUGGGUCACUCGAGUGCCUGAGUGAUUAUGCCAGCUAGUCGACACAGCGAUUACAGUUGCAGGUGCUGUGCGGCAACACAACCUGGAUCGGGGAAAGCUAAGGACAAACCAGUAUUUAUGGAGUCUAUGCCAAUCCCGAGCGGAGCCGGCGACUAGAGCGAUCUUGUUGCAAUAUGGCCCGUGUAGAGCAUGCUAAGGUGUGGGCUGGUCUCUCUGAGAUCGGCUUAAGGGACAUGCCAGGCCCCCAAGAAAUUGGGUCCUACGGAUUAGCGCCUGCAGCGCGAAACCUACAGGAGGGCGAGCACUGGGCUCUGGAGUCAGUUGUCUGCAACUUAUCUUCAAAUGGGCGACCAGUCGAGAGCGACCAGGAGGAAAUUUACUGGAAGCGAGCCUUGGUAUCAGAGGAAUAUCAUUGCCAAGAUAAAUUACUACCUCUAGAUCUGAAUAGGGAACGUGAGCUGGGUUUAGACCGUCGUGAGACAGGUU